rnacentral:rRNA from 1 species
CCUACGGGAGGCAGCAGUGAGGAAUAUUGGUCAAUGGACGAGAGUCUGAACCAGCCAAGUAGCGUGAAGGAUGACUGCCCUAUGGGUUGUAAACUUCUUUUAUAUGGGAAUAAAAUGUUCCACGUGUGGGAUUUUGUAUGUACCAUAUGAAUAAGGAUCGGCUAACUCCGUGCCAGCAGCCGCGGUAAUACGGAGGAUCCGAGCGUUAUCCGGAUUUAUUGGGUUUAAAGGGAGCGUAGGUGGAUUGUUUAGUCAGUUGUGAAAGUUUGCGGCUCAACCGUAAAAUUGCAGUUGAAACUGGCAGUCUUGAGUACAGUAGAGGUGGGCGGAAUUCGUGGUGUAGCGGUGAAAUGCUUAGAUAUCACGAAGAACUCCGAUUGCGAAGGCAGUUCACUGGACUGCAACUGACACUGAGGCUCGAAAGUGUGGGUAUCAAACAGGAUUAGAUACCCCUGUAGUC